rnacentral:rRNA from 1 species
UACGAAGGGUGCAAGCGUUACUCGGAAUUACUGGGCGUAAAGCGUGCGUAGGUGGUUCGUUAAGUCUGAUGUGAAAGCCCUGGGCUCAACCUGGGAAUGGCAUUGGAAACUGGCGACCUAGAGUGCGGUAGAGGGUAGUGGAAUUCCCGGUGUAGCAGUGAAAUGCGUGGAGAUCGGGAGGAACAUCUGUGGCGAAGGCGACUGCCUGGACCAGCACUGACACUGAGGCACGAAAGCGUGGGGAGCAAACAGG